AUAAAGUUUGAUUCUUUCUUGAAUUUUUAUGUAUUUAUUGAAAUUGCAUGAGAAUUAUGGUAUGUAUAUGUUGUUGCUUUUAAAAGGGAAUAAGCAUAAAGUAAAAUAGAAGUAAAAUUAUCUAUGAAGAAUAAAUGCUCAGCAUAUGUUAUUAAGUAGUUUAAGAAAUUAAGAAUUAGCAUGUAAAUAUAGACCUGAUUAAAUAUUGUGCCAGCAGUCGCGGUUAAACAUUAAGGUCAAGUAAAAGUAGGAUAUUAUUUAGUUAAAUUUAAAAGAUUCGAUUAUGAGAUUAAAAUGCUUGAAAAUUUGGAGGUGAAAUUAAGAUUUUUAGAGUUAGUAAUUGAAUGAUAAUUGAAGCUAUAAAAAUUUAGGUUUAAACUAGGAUUAGAUACCCUAUUAUACUAAAAAUAAACUUUUAAAAAUUGAUUAUUAUUAGUUAUGUGCUUAAAAUUUGAAGAAUUUGGCGGUAGCUUAGUCUUGUUAGAGGAACCUGUUUUAUUAAAUCGAUAAUCCGCGUAAAAUCUUGCUUUCUUUUGUCAGGCAGCUUAUAUACCGUCAUUAACAGAUAAUUUUAUGAGAAUUAAUUGUUGGAAUUUAUAAAAUAUAAAUAAAAUUAGAUCAAGGUGUAGUCUAUAAGAAAGCUAAAAUGGGUUACAAUAAAAGUUUGUUUAAAAAACGUAUUUAUAAAGUAAGAAUUGAUAAUGAAGGAGGAUUUAAUUGUAAUUGUAAGUUAAUAUAUUACGAUGAUAUACAGCACUAAGUUAUGUACAUAUUGCCCGUCGCUUUCAUUCAAAAAUGAGAUAAGUCGUAACAUAGUAGGUUUAUUGGAAAUUGAACCUAGAUUGA
rnacentral:ncRNA from 1 species